GAUUUAUCGUUGGGUGGGGGAUAACCGCGGGAAACUGCGGCUAAUACCGCAUGACGCCUGUGGGCCAAAGCAGUAAUGCGCCUGACGAGGAGCCUGCGUCCGAUUAGUUAGUUGGUUGGGUAAUGGCUGACCAAGGCGAUGAUCGGUAGCUGGUCUGAGAGGAUGAUCAGCCACACUGGGACUGAGAUACGGCCCAGACUCCUACGGGAGGCAGCAGUGGGGAAUAUUGGACAAUGGGCGCAAGCCUGAUCCAGCAAUGCCGCGUGGAU
rnacentral:rRNA from 1 species